AGAAGGAGGUUGACUGUGGGUCUCAAAGGCGCUUCCUGUGAGGAGAACUGAUGCUGAGGCCUGUUUUCAGAUGGUGUGGAUCAUACAGGACAGAGUCAGGCCUGCGAGAAAAGGGGUCGAGUAUGAAGGAGGAUGAAGACCUUGAAGAUGACUUAGUCCAGACUCUGUAUGUGGUCUAUGAUCUCCUUCUGGUCCCAUAAGAUCCUUUUGUGCUCUGGACAGUGUUCAGCUCUUGAUAGCCAACAUUACAGCUUCAACAACCAGUUGUUUUUUCUAAUUGUUUUAUUUGUUAGGUCUAUCUCUUAGUGAGCUCCCUGACAACUGAACUGUGCCAUCUUGAGAUUCUGUUAUAGAACCUGGGAUCAUGAAUGAUGGAAUAAGAUGAGCAACUAGCAAUAGCUUCCUUGUAAUGCCUCUGCUUUCCACAGCUUCUGAGGAAGAAGACAGACAUAUAUCUGUACAGAACCCACACUCCCAAGGGAUGCCCACUGUUACUGGAUGAGGCAGGGCCAUGGUACAGGACCUCCAUCUUUUUCUUAUGUGUACCAUCUGCCACCUGCCAGACUGGCUUUCAGAUCACCAUGUUCACUGGUUCAUUUUGGACCAGUACUGACUUUUGGACCUCCAGACCAAACUUGCAACUGUGAACAUGAUUGCAGCCGUUCUUCUGGACUCUGACCUUGGAUUUGUUUUCUGGACUGACAGGGCACACGUACUCUACAAAUUAGCCAGUGUUCUAACCCUCCUCAUCCCAUGUCAGGACUCUUCAAAUGCUGAUCCAGAAUCUGCUGAAAUUAGAGCAAACUGUGAAAACGGUGAGGAGGGAGUGAAGACUCAUUCAGGUCUUGACCUGGGCCCAUUGAAGUGGAAUGCUAGCAUUGUCUGACUACAAAACUUUGACAAGCAUGCCUCAAGAAGUCUGUCCUCCAGUACACCAGAAAAGCAGGGCUCUUCAUCAUGAAGAUCUUGGGUCAUUCAGGCUCAUUUGGCAUCCAGCAGAGAGGAGUCAAACCCAGCCUUUCGCAUACCAGGACCACUGAGCUCCACCAUCAGCCAGUCAGCAGUGGUUUAAAAGUCAACUAGACUGGAGGCUGGUGAGAUGCCUUCUGAGUGGAUAUAAAGAAGAGAAGAAGGGCAAAGACCAGGUAUCCUGUCACUCUAGAUGGAGGGGGACAGAGAAACCAGCAAAGGCAGGGGGAGUGAGAAGAGAAGAAUCAGACAGAGAAGUGGUCAUCUCUGAGCCUGGCUCAUAGGGCUCAUUUAUCUUUGACGCUUAGUGGAAUGGAAUGGAUCAAAACCACCAAAUCAGUGCAGAGCAUAGCUCAUCAGUCUGCACAGUUCCCUUUUUAGCCCUCCCUGGAAUUUUCUGCACAUUUCUACUCUGUGGGCAUGCCAAUCAGGUUCUGAUUAUAAGGAACCAUGCCAUUAAAGUUUAGGAUUGUAGAAGUUACUUCCAGGUUUUGAAAUUAAAACCCUCACUUUUGGAUAGCACUGUAGAGCAUUUAAUUAGGAAGAUGUCCCUUAGAGAAUGUUGAAAUUGACUCUCUCUAUUUAAGGUCUGGGUCAACACAGAGGCCUGGGUCAGGAGGUGACUUAUAUAGGUGGCAUUUCAUCUACCUAAGUGUACCUGGUGGAUGAGAAUCCAUAUUUUGCAAAAAGCAAAGGGAAUUAAAUCUAUUUCUAUCAGUUCCUGAGAAUCCUUAUUUUGGAGAUGUCAAAUCUCUUCAUAAAUGAAGAUAUUUUAGAUGGUACUUUUAAUUUUCUUUUUGCUAUGACUAAUACUUGAUUAGAGGUAACUUAAGGGAGAAAGAUUUUUUUGGCUUAUAAUUUGAGAGGAAGUCCAUAAUAGGAGGGAAAACAUAGUAGCAGGCAUGUGAGGCAGCUGGUUAUACUUCAUCCACAAUCAGCAAAUAGAAUGGAUAGGAAGUGGGGCUGGUCGACAGUCUCAAGCCACCCAUCCCUGUCUCCUCCUGCAAGGCUCUGCCUCUGGAAGGUUUUACAGUCUUCCAAAAUAGCGCCCCCAGCUGGGGGCCAAUUGUUCAAACAUAUGAGCCUGUGGGGGAACUUUUCACAUUCAAACCACGACAGAUGAUAAAGUAAGCUAAUUUUUCACGGAAAGCCAAGAACCCUUGGGUUAAGGCUGAGAAAACCCUAGUCAGAAGCACAUUCCUUGAGAAAUUAGAGUAAUCCCUUAACCUGGAAAUGGCCUCAUAUUCUGAGAGUCCUGAGCUGGGUGUUCUCAUCCUCUUUGGAUUCAUUUGUCAUAUAAGCAGAGUCCCUUUGGCAAACUUCCCUGCAAUUAUUCCUCCAUAGAUGGUGGAUGGCUACCCUUGCCUCUGCCAAUGAUGUUGUCAUUAUUGGAGUGGGUCAAGCGUGGGCUCAUGCUCAUGUGAUUAGAGCUUGAUGUCUUCCAUCCAAACUGCAUCAUCUACUGGGCCUGCAUCCACGGGAAGGAAAGACCUGAGUACCUCCUGCGAGAAACUUUAGAUCUCAACUAGGGAUAGGGGUGUGCAUUACAAGGCUAGUCAUUUGCCUGAUUCUCCCUCCAUUUGAGGAUGAGUCCUUUCUCUGCCUUUUGGUGGCACACCAGGUUAGGCUGAAAAUAUGUCAGUUCCUGGAUGUGCCUGGGUCUGCAACUUUCUUCCUCAGACCCCUCACCUCUACAGAAAAUGCCAUACCUAAAUUCUAUGUUCAACACUGAUUGAUUUAAAAUCUAUCCAGACUUAAUAGAUUAUAACGAGUGUUCAUUAUUGUUUUGUUCAAUAACUAGAUAUUACAUGAAUAAUCAGAAGAGCCAAAGUACAGAUUCUUAAGCCAUUCUUCCCAGUAGCACCAUUUGGGGACCCUUUAAGCCCCUUGAUGCCUGGGGCACACCCAUGCUGAUUCAAUCAGAAUUCGGGGAGACAACUUGAAUGGUUGUUGUUAUUGUUGUUUUCCCUAAAUUCACUUAGUGAUUCCACUUAUGAUGAAGCCAGCAACCACUCUACUAAAGGAGCAUUUCCCAAACUUGAGUCAGUGUAGUCCUAUCCUGGAGUCUUGUUGAGUGAACUGCAAAUUCAAAUUCAGCAGGUCUACAGGGAGUCAGGUUCCUUACGAGCAUCUCUCGAGUGGUUAGUCUGGAAACCACCAUCUGAGAUUUGAGUAGUAAGGUUCCUCAAAGUGCCAGCGGGUCUUUGACGGUGAGCUAAGUGCCAGGGGGGAGGGAGAGCUGGAAAGAGCUGUGAGGACAGAGAGCUUCCAGGAAGACCCCGUCCCUUCACUGCACCCGGAAGACUCAAAAAAGAGAGCUUUGGGGACAUUUGACAGAGACUGAGAAAAGCCAGCCGUUGAUGACAAGUCUGCUCAUCAGACAUUAAGGUCAUAGCCUUGGUGUCAGAAAUCCCUGGCGUGAGGAUCUACUUUGGAGCAAUACUUCCAUUUUCCAAGAGAAUGCUGGGAUGCCUCAGUCUAUGAAUGACCCUGGACACAGCUUCCCUUUAAAAGCAAGGGAACCAGCAGAUGAUGUAAGAAGGGGAAGAGAAGCAUCUGGAAAAUGAAGAGAGGCUCUUGUCUCACCAGUGGUCUUUAAAUAAAUACGGGGAUGCUGGCUCAGAAAGAGCUCCCAGUGGAAAAAGCCUCUGAGCAGAUCCACCUCUUGUUGCAAGAAUGCCCUGCCACAACCCACCAAGGAUCAGGGGAAGAAGGCUGGGGCAGGUGGAGGGCUUGGGUGGGGUCAUGUCCCGUAUAGAAGCAUCUCACUGGCUGGACUCAGAAUGCACCUGUUGGGAGUGCGCAUGUUCCCUUCCGUGACCGGUUACAUAAUGUGUCUGUUGUCCAGGGCAGUGGGGACCACAGUGCUAGGCCUCAGAGAUGCAGAAGGGAGCAAGUCCCAGUUGUCUCUGAGUGGCUCCCCAGCAUUCACACUGAGAUGCAGUGUUUGGAGUUAGAGACAUUCACCACUGCACCAUGAGGACCAAGGAGGCAACAACUGAAGUUAGGACUGCCAUUGACUGUAGGCUGGGGUCUGGAAACUGUCACUGGGAUCUUUCUUCAUCUGUCCUUCAUUCUGAUUUACUGGCCCCUGCUUUUUUCUUCUUUUCACUCUUCUUCUUCUUCUUCUUCUUCUUCUUCUUCUUCUUCUUCUUCUUCUUCUUCUUCUUCUUCUUCU